GGUUAAGCGACUAAGCGUACACGGUGGAUGCCCUGGCAGUCAGAGGCGAUGAAGGACGUGCUAAUCUGCGAUAAGCGUCGGUAAGGUGAUAUGAACCGUUAUAACCGGCGAUUUCCGAAUGGGGAAACCCAGUGUGAUUCGUCACACUAUCAUUAACUGAAUCCAUAGGUUAAUGAGGCGAACCGGGGGAACUGAAACAUCUAAGUACCCCGAGGAAAAGAAAUCAACCGAGAUUCCCCCAGUAGCGGCGAGCGAACGGGGAGGAGCCCAGAGCCUGAAUCAGUGUGUGUGUUAGUGGAAGCGUCUGGAAAGGCGCGCGAUACAGGGUGACAGCCCCGUACACAAAAAUGCACAUACUGUGAGCUCGAUGAGUAGGGCGGGACACGUGGUAUCCUGUCUGAAUAUGGGGGGACCAUCCUCCAAGGCUAAAUACUCCUGACUGACCGAUA
rnacentral:rRNA from 1 species